rnacentral:rRNA from 1 species
CAGCCGCCGCGGUAAGACAGAGGAUGCAAGCGUUAUCCGGAAUGAUUGGGCGUAAAGCGUCUGUAGGUGGCUUUUCAAGUCCGCCGUCAAAUCCCAGGGCUCAACCGUGGACAGGCGGUGGAAACUACCAAGCUGGAGUAUGGUAGGGGCAGAGGGAAUUUCCGGUGGAGCGGUGAUAUGCGUUGAGAUCGGAAAGAACACCAACAGCGAAAUCACUCAGCUAGGCCGACACUGACACUAAGAGACGAAAGCUAGGGGAGCAAAUGGGAUUAGAUACCCCUGUAGUCCCUGUCUCUUAUAA